CCUCGUAGACGUCCGCUCGUCAAGCUCGUCACGGCGGUGUACGGUGUCGCGAGGUUCAUCGUCGGCCGAAGGGCUCGUCGUCGAAGCGUGUCGUCGUCGUCGUCGUCGUCGUCGUCGUUGUCGUCGUCGACGGUGACGCCGGCCGCGGCGGCGCGUGGUGCGAGGACGAGGUGAAUGCACGGCGGCCGCGGUGUGUGUGUCAGUGGUGUAAGCUCGUGUCUUCUGCGCUCGUGGAAACCCGCCAAAAGCCGCGGCCGCGAACAAGCACCACUAGGAUUAGCAGCAGUGGCGUGUACGACAGCUGGACCGAGAUCUUUUUCCUCGUCGUCCUCGUUAUCGUUAUCAUCGUGAUCGUUUUUGUUGGUGCCGUCGUUAUUAGUGAACGCGAACGUGCUCUGUCAAAGAAGAACGAAAAGAAGGAUAAAGGAUUGCAAAGGGAUAAAUUUGAUAUCAACUUUGUCGUCGGUACAGCAUGAAGGCAGAUAGUGACGUCAAGUGAAGGAAAGAGGGGCAAGAAGAAGAAAUAAGAGUAAUUAAUACUACAAAACAGCGCUUCGUGAAAAUAACGCAUGCACCGGCGAAUGAAAACUGGGAUAAAAGGCUGAACCUCUGGGGUGUAAAUCAGAGAAGUAAUAAUAAUAAUUAAAAAAAAACAAAAACAAACAAA
rnacentral:misc_RNA from 1 species